rnacentral:rRNA from 1 species
UCGAACGAUGAUCUCCAGCUUGCUGGGGGGAUUAGUGGCGAACGGGUGAGUAACACGUGAGUAACCUGCCCUUAACUCUGGGAUAAGCCUGGGAAACUGGGUCUAAUACCGGAUAUGACUCCUCAUCGCAUGGUGGGGGGUGGAAAGCUUUUGUGGUUUUGGAUGGACUCGCGGCCUAUCAGCUUGUUGGUGAGGUAAUGGCUCACCAAGGCGACGACGGGUAGCCGGCCUGAGAGGGUGACCGGCCACACUGGGACUGAGACACGGCCCAGACUCCUACGGGAGGCAGCAGUGGGGAAUAUUGCACAAUGGGCGCAAGCCUGAUGCAGCGACGCCGCGUGAGGGAUGACGGCCUUCGGGUUGUAAACCUCUUUCAGUAGGGAAGAAGCGAAAGUGACGGUACCUGCAGAAGAAGCGCCGGCUAACUACGUGCCAGCAGCCGCGGUAAUACGUAGGGCGCAAGCGUUAUCCGGAAUUAUUGGGCGUAAAGAGCUCGUAGGCGGUUUGUCGCGUCUGCCGUGAAAGUCCGGGGCUCAACUCCGGAUCUGCGGUGGGUACGGGCAGACUAGAGUGAUGUAGGGGAGACUGGAAUUCCUGGUGUAGCGGUGAAAUGCGCAGAUAUCAGGAGGAACACCGAUGGCGAAGGCAGGUCUCUGGGCAUUAACUGACGCUGAGGAGCGAAAGCAUGGGGAGCGAACAGGAUUAGAUACCCUGGUAGUCCAUGCCGUAAACGUUGGGCACUAGG